CUACUUACGCCAUCUGGUGGAUGGUUUGGCUCGGGAGCCGAUGAAGGACGUGCCAAGCGGCGAAACGCUUCGGGUAGGCGCAUGGAGCCUUAGAUCCGAAGAUCUCCGAAUGGGACUUCCUGGUACCUUCGGGUACCAUUCCCUUUAGGGAAGGGGAACCUGGGGAAUCGAAACAUCCUAGUACCCAGAGGAAGAGAAAUCAAUAGAGAUUCCCUGAGUAACGGCGAGUGAAAAGGGAAGAGGGCAAACCGAAUCCCUUGCCGAAAGGCACGGGAAAUGUGGAGUUUAGGACUCAUCCCAAUAUCUCACGGGGGAAGUGGAAUUGGCCUGGAACGGCCAGCCAUAGAAGGUGAAAGCCCUGUACACGUAACCCCGUAGGUUACGAGGAUGAUGUUCCAGAGUAUCGUGCGUCGGAUAUCGCGCGAGAAGAUGGGUCCCAUCAAGAUCCAACCCUAAAUACUCCCCGAGUCCGAUAGCAGACUAGUACCGUGAGGGAAAACUGAAAAGUGCCCCGAAAGGGGGGUGAAAAGAACCUGAAACCAGAUGGUUAUAACCCGAUAGGGCAUGAAAGAAAUGAAGAAUUCGUAACUGAAUUUAGAUCAGUGUCCUAUCGUCCGUGUUGAAGAACGGGCCAGGGAGUUCGAACCAUCGGCGAGGUUAAUCUCUUUAAGAGAGUAGCCGUAGCGAAAGCAAAAAGCUCGCAGCCCUUUGGGUGAGGAGCUGGGUGCGUUCGCCCGGAGUCGAUGGCGAGACACCCGAAGCCGGUCGAUCUAGACCUGGGCAGGUCGAAGCCCAACGAAAGUUGGGUGGAGGACCGACCCGGUGCUGAUGUGCAACUCGUUCGGUUGACCUGGGUCUAGGGGUGAAAGGCCAAUCUAGGCCGGCAAUAGCGGGUUCCCCCCGAGACUACCCGCAGGUAGACCUCUGCAGAGGAGGCAUAUGGGGUAGAGCCACCGAUGGAGGAGUUUAGAGCCGGAAGGCUCGGCUUCUCUUUCGAACUCCGAACCCAUAUGCUCCGUAGAAGCAGGGAGCUAGGGUUGUCGGGAUAAGCUUGACACCCGAGAAGGCAACAACCUAGACAGGGGUUAAGGUCCCAAAAUGCAGGCUAAGUGUCAUGUAAAGGGCGUCCGGAACCUAAAACAGCGGGGAGGUUGGCUUAGAAGCAGCCAUCCUUUAAAGAGUGCGUAACAGCUCACCCGCCGAGGUUUCGGGCCCCGAAGAUGGACGGGGCUAAGCCUGCUACCGAGACCUCUGGACACCCGAAAGGGUGAUUCGGUAGGGGGGCGUGCUGCUGGGGCAGAAGUCUCUCCGAGAGGAGGGAUGGACCCAACAGUAACGCGGAUCCUGGCGUAAGUAGCAGCAAAGUGCCGUUGAAAUCGGCAUCGCCGAAGGGGCUAAGGGUUCCUUGGCAAUGUUCGUCAGCCAAGGGUAAGCCGGUCCUAAGCACGAUCCUAACAGGAACCGUGCGAAAGGGAAGCUGGUUAAUAUUCCAGCGCCAGGGGUGUUUCGCCCAAAGGAUGACACCUCAGGAUAGGCGGAGGAUCCAUGCCUAGAUCUUCUUCAUUUCGAACUCUGGGGAGUACCGUAAUGGUGAGAACCAGGGGAAGGAAUGGAGAGCCCACCUAGGGUGGGUUCCGCUGAGUCCAGGGGUCCAUGAAAAGUCCUUUGGGGUCAGGCCCCUGUCCGUACCAAGAACCGACACAGGUGCCCCUGGGUGAGAAGCCCAAGGCGAGUGGGAACAAUCGACCCGAGGGAACUCGGCAAAAUGGCCCUGUACCUUCGGAAGAAGGGGUGCCUACUCCGGGAAAGAGUAGGUCGCAGUGGCUAGGGGACUCCGACUGUUUAACAAAAACACAGGUGGCCGCCAGACCGUAAGGUUGAGUAUGGCCGCUGAAGCCUGCCCAGUGCCGGUACCUGAAAGCCCCGUACAAGGGGAAGAAGGGCCGGUAAACGGCGGGGGUAACUAUGACCCUCUUAAGGUAGCGUAAUACCUAGCCGCUUAAUUGGCGGCUUGCAUGAAGGCCCAACGAGGGUCCCACUGUCCCCGGGUUGAGUCCCGUGAAAUCGAUGUAAUGGUGCACAAUCCAAUCUCUCCCAUCUGAAAGCGAAGUCCCUGUGGAGCUUUACUGCAGCCUGUUGUUGCGAUAUGACUCCGGAUGUGUAGGGUAGGCGGGAGCCUACGAAGCCCGGGCGCCAGCUCGGGUGGAGGCGCCGAUGAAACACCGCCCUUCCGGGGUUAUAUUGCUCACUCCUUCGGGAGGACAGCGAUAGGUGGGCAGUUUGGGUGGGGCGCCACGCCCUUGAUAAGGAAACAAGGGCCUCCAAAGGUAGGCUCAGGAGGGUCAGAAAUCCUCCGUUGAGUAUAAGGGCAAAAGCCUGCUUGACGCGGUUGCGAACAAUAAUCAACCGCGAUACGAAAGUAGGGCCUAACGAACCACCCUGUCCUCAUUGGUGGGGGCGGGUGAUAAGAGAGAAGUUACCCCAGGGAUAACUGAGUCGUCUCCGGCAAGAGUUCAUAUCGACCCGGAGGUUUGCUACUUCGAUGUCGUCUCUUCCUAUCCUGGCGGUGUAGCAGCUGCCAAGGGUGGGGCUGUUCGCCCAUUAAAAGGGAUCGUGAGAUGGGUUCACUACGUCGCGAGACAGUAGGGGUGCUUUUCGAUGGGAGUGCCCGGGUGCCUGCGGGGUAGGAUCCCUUAGUACGAGAGGAACGGGGAUUCGUGGCCACUAGUCUACCGGUUGUCUGGCAAGGCAGUUGCCGGGCAGCCACGCCAUAACUGAUAAGUGCUGAAAGCAUCUAAGCACGAAGCAGUCCCCAAAAAGAGGCACCCAUUGAGACCUCUCCUAAAAGAGGAGUUUGAUAGGACCGGGGUGUAAGCGCCAAGCCCUCGGGCGAGGCGUUCAGCCCGCGGUUACUAACGGUCGACCUUG
rnacentral:rRNA from 1 species